rnacentral:rRNA from 1 species
GACGAACGCUGGCGGCGUGCUUAACACAUGCAAGUCGAACGGAAAGGCCCUGCUUUUGUGGGGUGCUCGAGUGGCGAACGGGUGAGUAACACGUGAGUAACCUGCCCUUGACUUUGGGAUAACUUCAGGAAACUGGGGCUAAUACCGGAUAGGAGCUCCUGCUGCAUGGUGGGGGUUGGAAAGUUUCGGCGGUUGGGGAUGGACUCGCGGCUUAUCAGCUUGUUGGUGGGGUAGUGGCUUACCCAGGCUUUGACGGGUAGCCGGCCUGAGAGGGUGACCGGCGACAUUGGGACUGAGAUACGGCCCAGACUCCUACGGGAGGCAGCAGUGGGGAAUAUUGCACAAUGGGCGGAAGCCUGAUGCAGCAACGCCGCGUGCGGGAUGACGGCCUUCGGGUUGUAAACCGCUUUCGCCUGUGACGAAGCGUGAGUGACGGUAAUGGGUAAAGAAGCACCGGCUAACUACGUG